GCCACGUGCUUUGCACACAAGCCAUUGACUGAAAUCAACUCCAUGUACUGAUUGUACAAUAAAAAAAAAAAUUGUCACUUUUUAAUAAUAAUCAGUAAUGUGAAAUGUCAAAAGCACUGGCGUCAAUGAAACGGAUAUCACACUAAACAUAAGCUAACAUAGCUACAAUGUGAUUACCUUCUGUGUGGUAAGGCUGUGCAUAUGGCAUUGCAUUUCCUUGUUUUUAAUUUAUAAGAUCUGUAGAUCCAAAACUUUAGGCACAAAAUACUGACGCUUAGUUAACUAUUGCUAAAAUAUGGAAGGCUUUCAAACUAGGCCUAAUCUACACCCAACUUCACCCCUUACAAGAACACCUCAGCCCUUUUAUUACUUUUACCGAUUCAAUCUCUGAACAAUUUCUCAAAACUUACCUUGAGCGUAGCUCUUCGUGGGUGAAGGGGGCGGGGGACGUGGGGAAGGGAGUGGUUGUAUAGCCACGAAACCAAAGAUCCGCCUUGUUCGCCCCAAACCCACCGCUUUAAAUAUGGCGACCGCGCGAGAGACUUGCGCACUCGGCCAGGAAGCCCAACAGGUGGAGCCUUACUCCAGCGUACUCCGAGAACGAACGUAUAUCGCAACACGUUCAAUAUGACGAAGCUCCUGAAGGUGGUCGUCUUAGCUGUUCUCAUGAUUGUCCAGGCUCUUGCUGCUCCUUGGACAUCCUACCGGUACCCUGGGAGGAGGACUAGAUAUUACAGGCCUGGAUACAUUAGUUCUCCUGGUUCCCUUGCAAUCCAUGGUUCGCCAUAUGGGUUUGGUUACGGUGGCUUUGGUGGAACUUACGUUGCACAGAACCCUGGAGCAGUUCACAUAGUUGGUGGGUUCCCAGGCUAGUGUCCCCGAACUGAUUACACGAUAUUUUACGAAAAUUAUAUGGUCUACGAUAUCUGCACAUAAACAACUUGUCUAUGAUUAAAAUUGUUUUAUAAAUUUUUUUCUUACAACUAACUUUGCAAUGCAUAAAACUUUAAUACUGGAUUUA